GGAAGAAUCUUCCCAAGUUUGAUAGUGCUCUCUUUUGAACCAUGUUUUUUUUUUUCAGAUUCAAUCAAGAAAUUGAAGUUUAAUUCGAUUUUACAACUGAAGAGUUUAACCCCCAAGAUAGCUUCGUUUCCCGCUACCAGAUUCAGAGUUCCAAGUGCAGCAGAUAAAGAGCUGGAAAAAAAAAUUCAUCCAUGAUCAGUCAAGAACAUUUUCCAGCUUUUACUAAUCUCUUAAAAUAAAACUAAAAAAACCGGAAAGUUUUAGCAAAAGAAGGAAGGAAACAUGGAACAUUUGAAGGCCCACUGACUGCAUAUGAGAAGAUAGCAGAGAAAAGCAGCAACCAUCAUAUGCCUUAAGAAAAUGCUAGCAUUAAACACAGCCAUGUUUUCCUCUAGAAGAUGCACAAGUCCCAAGAAAGACAGUCUGCAACUUGCAUGCAGCUGUGACAGAUUGCUGUGUAAGUGAUCUGUGCAAGACUAAGAACUUUCCUUCACAGCAAGUCUAACAACAUUUUAAAAAAUGCCUUUAUAUCUGUAAAGGAAAAAGAAGAAGGUGGGGGUGAAGCUGCCUCAUAAGGUUUUCAGAGAGCUCUUACCCAUAGAAAUAAUGAAUGUAUUUUCAAAUCUGUGUACAGAUGUUUCACAAGGAGCUACAGCUUUCUGCGGUGGAGUACAGCAAUGCCUCACUCAGGUGCACAGUAUUAACCUGCUGCCAUGAAGGUGGUCUGGGAUCUCACCUCUCAGCUGAGGACUUCCAGCCACAGGAGUUUCUCAGGAGAGCACUUCAGCUGCAAGUGGAAGGGAAGAUAGAGCUCCUGAAGCCACCUCAGGAUUUCUACUUGGAAGCCUAGUAACAAAACACUGAAGUGAAAAUAAUUAGAAAUAUUUGGGAUUUAGUGUCAAAGUUUCUCAAAACACUGAAGUGAAAAUAAUUGGAAGUAUUUGGGAUUUAGUGUCAAAGUUUCUCAAUUGAGGCAUCUCAAAUAUAUCCAUUGAAAACAUCCUCCUGUCCAUUACUGUCCAGGUACUGUUCAGUGUUUCUGAUCAAAUGAUGUAUUAGUUGGUCUGAGGCUGUUGAAACAUCACUUCUAAUAGGUCAUAGCAUCCUUUAUAAAUAAUUUGGUUUCUGUAGAAUUUCCCAUUGCUUUCUUAACUCUGAGAUAAUUUACAGACAAUUUUGUCUUUUCUGAAAAAUAUUUAAAAACUGUGGCUCUUGUUUUGAAUCAUGAUUGAAGUUUAAACCAUAUUUUUAUGGAGAGAGACAAAACUUCUCUCCACCAACACUUUAAAUAUGUUAGGGAUCACUGUUUUCCUCUGGUAUCUCUGAGUCAGAACAUUCACGAUGUUAGGAAAAUUAAUUUUUUGGAGAAGGACUCAAGGGUAAGAUUUUAUUCUGUUUGCACCCUUCAGGUUGUUUCUGCAAGGCUCUCUGAAGAAUGAGCACUUGUCUUCUCUGUCCUUCAGGACAGCUGGUUGAUAUCCAUAAGGCUUUCUGGAGCUCUGCUUCCUCUUGGAAGGAAAUCUGGAAUUCUGUGUAUUUAGUUGUUUUCUUCUAUAUUCUUGAGGUUUUUUUACUGGAAAGUUUAAGCUAAAAAUGUAUCAAAAUUCUGUGGUGAAACUUAGGCAUGAGAAUCCAAUUCAAUAACUUAAUUUCUGCUUAAAAUUUCUUUAUCCAGUGCCAUUGAUCUUAUCACAAUGAGUUUGGUCAGUAAAGCUGUGAAUAUGCUUUCUGUAGCUGAAGGCAGGUGGGAAAUGGAGUUUGUGGGGGCUGAAUUAUCCUGGUUUUCUACAGUUCUUGGGGAAUUGUAGGUAUUUAGCACCCCUGAUUACCAGGUAACUUAUUUAGAUGUUUAAUUGUAGGCAGUCAGGAUGAAUUUUGAGUUAUUUUUCUUCCUUGAGUUUGGAUAUUAGUGAGGAGAGGGUGGCAUUUUAUGUCUUGUAAGAUGUAAAAGCAUGGAGGGAAAGAGCUGGUUUGAGGCUGCAUGGCAGGAUAUGCCUGGAAGGAAUGGGGUUAAAGCUAAGCAGAGUAGUAUGCCUGCCCCAUAGGAGAAAAAAUCUUGCAAACAAGAUGCAUUUGUCUGUAAGAGUGUUUUCCAAGACAACCAAAGAAAAUGCUAACAUGCGUGGACUUUCAAAAGUACUCUGUAAAAAAAAAAAAAAAGAAAAAAGCAGUUGCUAGACCAUGGGUAGAAACAAUUUUCAUCUCUGAUAUUGUCUGUGAAUAUUUGGUGUGAAACACGGUGAUUUUGCUUGAAAAUACAUGGGGCAGCCAAAAGCUUGUAGCCACUUGUGCCUUGCUGAGAGAUCAGCUUCCAUAAAACAGAGCUCCUUUAAAGGAGGUGCCACGCUGUCAGCACAUCUGUCUCGGCAAGGGGAGGAAGCACUGGAGGGGGGGAAUGCUGUUCAUUAAUUGCAUCAUAUUGAGCUUCCAGGCAGACUUGAGACGGCCAAAAGGUGGAGAUUUUUAGGUUCCUCCCCCUACUUUUCUAUCUCCUCCCCCCUUCCCAAAAAUAAGUGUUUUGCCAAAACCUCCUUGUGGCAGAGCAAGGCUUUUAAAAGGAAAGUCAGGAACGAAGCAAGAAUUUUGGAGACUAGGUUAAUUCCAGUCCUUUCUUUUCUGAAAGGAAGACUUGUAAUGUGUGCAGUCUGUCAAGUCACUGCUUCUCAAGGUGAAAAUCCAAAAAAAAGUUAAACAUAUAAAUAAUAAUAAAAUAAGUUCACAAGUCA
ensembl:lncRNA